rnacentral:lncRNA from 1 species
CGUGGCGUGCCCUUGUAAUCCAGCUGCUCGGAGGCCGGUGCUAGAGGACGGGUUGUGACUGGCAAUUCUGCCCCGUGUUUGGCCCAUGUCGAUCGGGUGUCCGCGCUAAGCUGGGCGUCGAUAUGGCGACCCCAGGGGAGCCUGGUGGUGGCCAGGUCGCCUAAGGAGGAGCGAACCGGCCCAGGGCGGAAACGCAGCAGGUAAA